AUUUAUGCUUAUUUAUUUUCCCUUGUGUACUUUAACCAUUUGUACAUUGUUACAACACUGUAUAUAUACAUAAUAUGACAUUUGUAAUGUCUUUAUUCUUUUGAAAGUUCUGUAUGUGUAAUGUUUACUGUUAAUUUUUAUUGUUUAUUUCACUUUUGUAUAUUAUCUACCUCACUUGCUUUGGCAAUAUUAACACAUGUUUCCCAUGCCAAUAAAACCCCUUGAAUUGAAUUGAUAUAUUUACAUGUAUAUAGAGAGAGAUAGAGAGAAAGAGACAGUGUACCAUAAGUGAGUUGGCUGUCACCCUCGUGGUAGAGCCAGCGAGUAGCCCUCCAGCAGUAUCCAGCUCUCUUCUCUUAUCGUCCUUCUGGAAUCUUUCUCUCUCUCUGUCUCUCUCUCUAUUUGUCUCUCCUCUCUCUGUCGCUCCUCUCUCACUCUCUCGCAAGCUGACAGCCUAGUGUACAGCACAAGCUAUUCUUAGUCCCGCUGGGUCCUGACUGACACACGGACCAGAGGGAUCUCUCUCUCUCUCUCUCUCUCUCUCUCUCUCUCUCUCUCUCUCUCUCUCUCUCUCACACACACACACACACAAUUGCGAUCAGAAUUUUAACACAGUGUUAAAUGAAACACUUUCUUAGAAAUCAUAUGUGACCACUUCAAAUGGUGUCAAACUAACACUUUUCGAAGUGCUGAUAAACUAACAUCCCCAGAGUGUUGAUAAACUAACAACACAGAGUGUUGAUAAACUAACCCCCCAGAGUGUUGAUAAACUAACACCCCAGAGUGUUGAUAAACUAACCCCACCAGAGUGUUGAUAAACUAACCCCCCAGAGUGAUGAUAAACUAACCCCCCAAGUGUUGAUAAACUAACUCCCUAGAGUGUUGAUAAACUAACAUCCCCAGAGUGUUGAUAAACUAACAACACAGAGUGUUGAUAAACUAACCCCCCAGAGUGUUGAUAAACUAACACCCCAGAGUGUUGAUAAACUAACCCCACCAGAGUGUUGAUAAACUAACCCCCCAGAGUGAUGAUAAACUAACCCCCCAGUGUUGAUAAACUAACCCCCCAGAGUGAUGAUAAACUAACCCCCCAGUGUUGAUAAACUAACCCCCCAGAGUGUUGAUAAACUAACACCCCAGAGUGUGGAUAAACUAACAUCCCCAGAGUGUUGAUAAACUAAGCCCCCCCCGAGUGUUGAUAAACUAACCCCCAGAGUGUUGAUAAACUAACUCCCCAGAGUGUUGAUAAACUAACUCCCCAGAGUGUUGAUAAACUAACAUCCCCAGAGUGCUGAUAAACUAACAUCCCCAGAG
rnacentral:lncRNA from 1 species